ensembl:lncRNA
GUCAGGAGUCUUAUCAAACAUGUGAAGUUUGGGGCAGAUUGGACAUUGUAUGUCUGAGUUAUAGCAACUUCAUUUUUCAUGGCGAAUCAUCGAAAUUCGUCAGGCCGCCACGGACACGCUCUUCAACGAAAACUCAAGAUCUUCGCAAUUUAACAUCGCAAAGGCCUUUAGAUUAGGCAUACCAAAUUUGGUGUUGAUCUGAAUAAAUCUCUAGGAGGAGUUCGUUAAAAUACAAGGCAUGCAAAUGACAAAAAUGAUGCAAAAUUUGCUCAUAAAAUUAAAAAUAACCGACUUCCUGUUGGGUUUCGGAUAUUGCUCCAAGAGUCUUUUUUGUAGGUACUGAUGCCUUACAUAUGUGUGCCAAUUUUCGUGCAUGUACGUGAAACACAGCUCGAGGGCUGUUGAUUUUUUUACGGUAGGUGGCGCUGUCGAGCCAUUUUGCCACACCCUCUUCUGAAACCUAUAUCAGACGUAAAUUUUCACCAGGUCUGACGCGUGUGCAAAGUUUCAGGACUUUUCGAGCAUGUUUAGGCCCUCAAAAAUGCGAUUCAUUUUGGAGAAGAAGAAGAAGAAGAAGAAUAAUAAUAAUUAAAGCUGCAAGCAGCGAUGAACGGGCCCUCGCACCCGGG